UAGUUCAGUUGGUUAGAAUACCGGCCUGUCACGCCGGGGGUCGCGGGUUCGAGUCCC
rnacentral:tRNA from 2 species